AUUUUGGGUGUCUGAUUUUCGUUUACGAUUUGGGUGUUGAUUUUGGGUGUCUGAUUUUGGAAGGUCGUUGUUGUCGCCGUUCGGGUUCAGGCGGCGGCUCCUUCGCUGCCGACGUUAGCUGUCUAGUCGGGGGAGAGAUUCGGAGGAAGAGAGAGUCGGGUCGACGGAGGCCGCGAUUUGGGGAUCUAGGGUUCUGGCGAGGUGGCGGCUGCGGUCGCCGGGGGACAGAGGGGGUGAGUUCUGGCGAGAGACGGAGGUGGCCGGAGAGGCGGUAGUCGGAAGUC
rnacentral:lncRNA from 1 species